rnacentral:rRNA from 1 species
AAAAAAGGUAAGCUACUAAGAGCGAAUGGUGGAUGCCUUGACUGGUAAAGGCGAUGAAGGACGUACUAGACUGCGAUAAGCUACGGGGAGCUGUCAAGAAGCUUUGAUCCGUAGAUUUCCGAAUGGGGCAACCCAAUGUAUAGAGAUAUACAUUACCUAUAUAGGAGCGAACGAGGGGAAUUGAAACAUCUUAGUACCCUCAGGAAAAGAAAUCAAUAGAGAUUGCGUCAGUAGCGGCGAGCGAAAGCGCAAGAGGGCAAACCCAGUGCUUGCACUGGGGGUUGUAGGACUGCAAUGUGCAAGAGGUGAGUUUAGCAGAACAUUCUGGAAAGUAUAGCCAUAGAGGGUGAUAGUCCCGUAUGCGAAAAACAAACCUUAGCUAGCAGUAUCCUGAGUAGGGCGGGACACGAGAAAUCCUGUCUGAAGCUGGGUCGACCACGAUCCAACCCUAAAUACUAAUACCAGAUCGAUAGUGCACAAGUACCGUGAGGGAAAGGUGAAAAGAACUGAGGUGAUCAGAGUGAAAUAGAACCUGAAACCAUUUGCUUACAAUCAUUCAGAGCCCUAUGUAGCAAUACAGGGUGAUGGACUGCCUUUUGCAUAAUGAGCCUGCGAGUUGUGGUGUCUGGCAAGGUUAAGCAAACGCGAAGCCGUAGCGAAAGCGAGUCUGAAUAGGGCGCUUAGUCAGAUGCUGCAGACCCGAAACGAAGUGAUCUAUCCAUGAGCAAGUUGAAGCUAGUGUAAGAACUAGUGGAGGACUGAACCCAUAGGCGUUGAAAAGCCCCGGGAUGACUUGUGGAUAGGGGUGAAAGGCCAAUCAAACUUCGUGAUAGCUGGUUCUCUCCGAAAUAUAUUUAGGUAUAGCGUUGUGUCGUAAUAUAAGGGGGUAGAGCACUGAAUGGGCUAGGGCAUACACCAAUGUACCAAACCCUAUCAAACUCCGAAUACCUUAUAUGUAAUCACAGCAGUCAGGCGGCGAGUGAUAAAAUCCGUCGUCAAGAGGGAAACAACCCAGACUACCAGCUAAGGUCCCUAAAUCUUACUUAAGUGGAAAACGAUGUGAAGUUACUUAAACAACCAGGAGGUUGGCUUAGAAGCAGCCAUCCUUUAAAGAAAGCGUAAUAGCUCACUGGUCUAGUGAUUUUGCGCGGAAAAUAUAACGGGGCUAAAGUAAGUACCGAAGCUGUAGACUUGCGCACAACUUAGAUUAUUUAAGUUUAGAAUAUGAGAAACUAAGUUAUAUGUUUAGUUAUAUUUUUACUGAUUUUUAUAGAGUAAAGAUAGAAAUAAAACUUAGUAAAAUCAGUAAAAAUAUUCUUAGACUAAAGUUAAGUAGUUUAAGUUGUGUGCAAGUGGUAGGAGAGCGUUCUAUUUGCGUCGAAGGUAUACCGGUAAGGAGUGCUGGAGCGAAUAGAAGUGAGCAUGCAGGCAUGAGUAGCGAUAAUUAAUGUGAGAAUCAUUAACGCCGUAAACCCAAGGUUUCCUACGCGAUGCUCGUCAUCGUAGGGUUAGUCGGGUCCUAAGUCGAGUCCGAAAGGGGUAGACGAUGGCAAAUUGGUUAAUAUUCCAAUACCAACAUUAGUGUGCGAUGGAAGGACGCUUAGGGCUAAGGGGGCUAGCGGAUGGAAGUGCUAGUCUAAGGUCGUAGGAGGUUAUACAGGCAAAUCCGUAUAACAAUACUCCGAGAACUGAAAGGCUUUUUGAAGUCUUCGGAUGGAUAGAA